AUACGUAGGGUGCAAGCGUUAAUCGGAAUUACUGGGCGUAAAGCGUGCGCAGGCGGUUUUGUAAGACAGUGGUGAAAUCCCCGGGCUCAACCUGGGAACUGCCAUUGUGACUGCAAGGCUGGAGUGCGGCAGAGGGGGAUGGAAUUCCGCGUGUAGCAGUGAAAUGCGUAGAUAUGCGGAGGAACACCGAUGGCGAAGGCAAUCCCCUGGGCCUGCACUGACGCUCAUGCACGAAAGCGUGGGGAGCAAACAGGAUUAGAUACCCUGGUAGUCCACGCCCUAAACGAUGUCAACUGGUUGUUGGGUCUUCAUUGACUCAGUAACGAAGCUAACGCGUGAAGUUGACCGCCUGGGGAGUACGGCCGCAAGGUUAAAACUCAAAUGAAUUGACGGGG
rnacentral:rRNA from 1 species